rnacentral:sRNA from 1 species
UACAUGAAUAAAUAUUUUUUAAAAAGUCUUAAAUUCAUAAUUAAAUGUGUGUUACAUGAAUAAAAAAUUAACAAUUAGUCUUAAAUUCAUAAUUAAAUGUGUUACAUGAAUAAAUAUUUUUUUAAUUAGACUUAAAUUCAUAAUUAAAUGUGUUACAUGAAUAAAUAUUUUUUAAUUAGACUUAAAUAUAUAAAAUUAAUGAUUACAUGAAUAAAUAUUUUUUAAUAAGACUUAAAUAUAUAAAAUUAAUGAUUACAUGAAUAAAUAUUUUUUUAAUAAGACUUAAAUAUAUAAUUAAUUGUUACAUGAACGAAUAUGUGCAGUUAUACAAAUAAACAUAACGCUAAAUAAUAUUAAUAAUGAUAUAUUCAAGAUUAAAUAACGAUAUGGCGGAGGAAUAAUGACAAGACAAAUAAGUAAUAGUAUAUAUUAGUAUAUAUAUGUUUGAAGAUGGAUAACGAAAUAUUGAAGAAUGUUGGAUUUAUUGAAGAAAUGAAAAUCUAUGAAGAAAUAUAUUUGUGUAUUAACCUUGGAAUAUAAUAUA